rnacentral:rRNA from 1 species
CCUACGUGCGGCAGCAGUGGGGAAUAUUGCACAAUGGGGGAAACCCUGAUGCAGCGACGCCGCGUGAGUGAAGAAGUAUUUCGGUAUGUAAAGCUCUAUCAGCAGGGGAGAAAUAGCGACCUUUGGGUCGCCAGACGGUACCUGCCUAAGAAGCCCCGGCUAACUACGUGCCAGCAGCCGCGGUAAUACGUAGGGGGCAAGCGUUAUCCGGAUUUACUGGGUGGAAAGGGAGCGUAGACGGCAGCACAAGUCUGAAGUGAAAUGCCGGGGCUUAACCCCGGAACUGCUUUGGAAACUGUGCAGCUAGAGUGCAGGAGGGGUAAGUGGAAUUCCUAGUGUAGCGGUGAAAUGCGUAGAUAUUAGGAGGAACACCAGUGGCGAAGGCGGCUUACUGGACUGUAACUGACGUUGAGGCUCGAAAGCGAGGGGAGCAAACAGGAUUAGAUACCCUGGUAGUC